UGUGUCAAAAGCCAAGCCGUAUUUUCAAAUUUCGCCUACCGUUGAAACUAUAAAUUUGUAAAGCGGCACGAAGCAGUCAUAAGUUUUCAAUAACUGCUGAAGUGAGCGCGGAAUGUCUUCAGCAUUCUUAUAAAUAUCCAAGAGGCAGUCUAUCAAUGUAAAUCUUUGAAGAUUAUAUUGGGGACAGUCAAAGAAAAUGUGAUCAAGAGUUUGGAUGGAUAAAUUACAGAAUUGACAAGUUGGAGAAUCUAAAACACCGAUCCUAAAUAAAUGAGCACCACUACGAGAAUGUCCCAGACGUAACCGGCAAAUUGUGGUGUAAAAUUUUCUGUAUUACUGUGUGGAGGAAUGUUAAAUGGAAUUGAAGAAGAUUCAGUUUUCGACACUACCAUGGAAAAUUUUGUGAUUGUAGGCAAGUGAUAGCUGCCCAAAGAGUCCUAAUGAACUUGCCAUUCACAACACAGGAAUAAUGAAGAUGAUACUAUUGUUAGAUCUAGUCCAUUUGGUCUCCAAGAAUUAGUACCCACUGUAGUUGGUUGAUCAUUAUUUAAGAGCAUUAAGUUAUUAUCGUCCAUUACAUCCAUGAUGUCUCUACCUCUAGAAUUGGUUCUAUUACAACCCCGAAUGGUAUGGUGAGCAUUAAAAUCACCAGCAAUUAUUAGUGGUUUUGGAAUACUAUGCAACAGUCUAUUAAAUUUAGAUUUGUCAAAGUUAGGUACACUGUUGCCAGGACUAUAAAAGCUAACAAUUUUGCAAGGAGUUAUCAGAAAAUGUUUCUAACUUUUGAAAAUAAAUGCCAUUUCUAACAAAAAUUGCUACACCAUUGUGAUCAUUACCACAAUCAUUUCUUAGUAUUGUAUAACCUCUGAUAGAAAACUGUAUAUUUGGUUUAAGCCAAGUUUCUGAUAUAAGUGCUAUGUGUAUGUCCUGCUCAUAAAGUAGGGUUUGAAGCUCACCUUCUUAUUGAGUGAUGGAAAGUUUGUUGGAUGUUUAAAUAAAUCUGAUAAUGGUGUUUUA